rnacentral:rRNA from 1 species
CAGUCGAACGAAGUAGCAAUACUUAGUGGCAAACGGGUGAGUAAUAUGUGGGAAUCUGCCUUUUGGCCUGGAAUAACACGAGGAAACUUGUGCUAAUACCGGAUAAGCCUUUACAGGGAAAGCUUUAUGCACCGAUAGAUGAGCCCGCACUUGAUUAGUUUGUUGGUGAGGUAAUGGCUCACCAAGACUGUGAUCAAUAGCUGAUUUGAGAGGAUGAUCAGCCACAUUGGGACUGAGACACGGCCCAAACUCCUACGGGAGGCAGCAGUGGGGAAUCUUGCACAAUGGGGGAAACCCUGAUGCAGCGAUGCCGCGUGAGUGAAGAAGGCCUUUGGGUUGUAAAGCUCUUUCGUCGGGGAAGAAAAUGACUGUACCCGAAUAAGAAGGUCCGGCUAACUUCGUGCCAGCAGCCGCGGUAAUACGAAGGGACCUAGCGUAGUUCGGAAUUACUGGGCUUAAAGAGUUCGUAGGUGGUUAAAAAAGUUGAUGGUGAAAGCCCAGAGCUUAACUCUGGAACUGCCAUCAAAACUUUUUAGCUAGAGUAUGAUAGAGGAAAGUAGAAUUUCUAGUGUAGAGGUGAAAUUCGUAGAUAUUAGAAAGAAUACCAAUUGCGAAGGCAACUUUCUGGAUCAUUACUGACACUGAGGAACGAAAGCAUGGGUAGCGAAAAGGAUUA